GUUUAUUUUCUGUAGCAGCCCAGGGGCAAGGGGAACAGUCAGUCUUGGGCAUGCUCAGUAGUGCUCAUGGCUGGGAAGGCCCCUGACCCUUGACCCCAGCUUCUCCCAGGUUAGGCGGGAAAACAGGUUUCUUUGUUCUCCCCUGGUCAAGAGAAACCACACCUAUGCCUUGUCAUUGACCAAUGAGGGUCAUCCCUAUGUACUGUGUAUAUUUGCAUAUCAAAAACUAUAUCUAGCCCAGCAGGCUCCGCCUUCACUCUCUCUCUGCUCUCCCCCCCUCUCUCCUCUUUCAGGCUAGGCGAUGGCUGUCCUUGCAGGAGCUUGGCCUCUGGCCAAGCUCCAUCUUUAAUCUUUCUCCUCAAUAAACGACUCCUCUUUGCAUACCAUGUGAGAGCUGUCGGUACCUUCUUUGUCGCUUCCCCUUUCCUUCUCUCUCUCCCCCUCCCCUCUCAGGGGUCGUAAGGGGCUGGUCCCCGACAUAUCUGGCGCUCCAACGUGGGGCCCGAGCGACCACCGGACAACUGAGGAAAAGUUCGGCGCCGAAACCGAGGCUACAGUAACGGGUAAGGAUCGGACGAUCCCGAGGAAUGGUAAGUUGUCCCAUUCAUAUCCCCCUCUCAAACCCCAUUGUGUGAAUGGUUGAAUGUAUGUGUGUUUUGAUGGCAACGGAAUAACAGUCCCCUUAUAUAUACGAAGUGCAGUUUCCCUCCCCCACCUGGGUCUGCUAGUCGGAGGCCUCCUCUCUCGGACCUGGAUCUCCGGAGGUUAAGAAACACCUGAGGAGCGGUCUGAGGGGGAGGGGAAGGAAAAAGAAAAUUUGACCCAGGGAAACCCUCACUAGGGGCGAUUGAGAAUUCGAAAAAUCUCACUCUGAAACAAACAGUUGCUAGAGCCUAGUGAAUUUCAAAAGGAGCAACUGGGAAAAGAAAAAGCAGGAGUUAAGAUUUCAUCAGGAAAGUGCAAAGUCAAAUUUAUGGCCUCCUAAAACAAAGGCUCCUAGAGCCAGGCUGCUAUUCAUAUGCAAAAGCAGGAAACGCAAGCAGACCAGAAGCAAGGAGCAAGCUAAUCUUCACAGGCAAAUUCCUGGGAUGCUUUUAAAAGGCUUAUCAGGAAGUAACUGCUUUGACUCAAAGCAGGACACUUAAAGGCCUGAAUUAGGUUAAAUUCAGAACAGCCUAGGUUGUAAAAAGAUAUUGCCAUUCUGUAACCAAAGGCAGAAGAUUUUUUUUUUAAAAAGGGCAAGCCUCUACACUCAUUUAGCAUUUGAAAAAAGGUCCUAGGAAUUCUUUUGUUUGAGGUCCAGCCAGGUAAAGGCAGGCUUUACCUGGGUGCUGGGAAUUUGAAUUUUAAUUUAGUUUUAAUUCGGGUUGGAUAGGCAAAAUUAUAAAGGAAUGUCUGCUUAUAUUUUUUGAUAAAGGAAGUUAAAAAAGGAGAAUUAAAUAUCUUUCUCUGACUUUUGUUAUAUGCCACAGAAUAUCAGGACUAGAAAUGUUUUAUCUGUAGAGAAAUUUUGGUAUAAAUCACAAGGUAAUUAAAGUGCAAACAGAAAACUUUUAAGGUUUGGGUUUAAAUCUGAAGCAGCUUGAAUUUUUUUCUCUACUGGCCACAUGGCUUGAGCCACGUGGAAGAUAGCAUCAGAGCAACUGAGGUUGCAAGUUUUAUCACUAAGGCUGUAAUUGGCUAGAAGAAGAAAUUUAAUACUAAGAUAUAAUAAGCAUGAAUUGGAAUAUGAUUUAAAGGAAUUUCUAAAGCUUUCUAAUUUUAACUAUGGAGGAAUUAUUAACACUUUUCUAAGCAGGACAUAAAGCAACAGGGUGAAUCUUGAGCAGAGCUUAUUCAAACAGCCUGUAUGCAGUUUAGAAACUUUUUACUGGGCAUAUUACUAUACCUGUAUCCAGAAAGCAAAUGAUUUAUAACUAGAAUAGCUUUUACUAUGGAAAAUUAAGACACAUGCUCAGCAGGGUAAAAGCAUGGUUAGAAGGAUUUAAUCUGUUUACCAGUGGUUAAUUAUUAAAGUUAUCAGGAACUCUGUUACUCAGUACAGUAAUUUAUUAAGGAUUUGAAAGAGGCAAUACUAUCAUGUAUUGAAAUUGCAGAUAUUGAAGCUGAUCAUGAUAUUGAAAAGAGACCUAUGAUAAUAAGGCAAAUUCAAAGGUUACUGGCAUAAUUUGAUUUAUUUCUGCAGUGAAGAUUUGCAGAUUUAGCAGAUGAAAGUAAUGAUUUUAUUCACAGUAUUAAGAUCUUUUCAGUUAUGAAGCUAAGGGCAGUAGUUCGGAAACAACUUUUGUGCAAUUGUUUGAUAAUUCUGUGCAUAUUUUUACAGCAUAAGACAAUGCUAUAAUUUUAAUAACUGCACAAGGUGGAAAUUUUUUCAAAAAGCAAAAAUUGUGUGCAGGCAGACAAAGGCUUAAGAUCCCAGCACACAUGGGUCAAAUCUUAAGUGAUUUAUAAUAUGAUAUUUUUAUGAUUAUGGGUUUGAAAAAGCAAAUAUUUAAGCAUCUAUACAUGCUGCUUUGCAAAAUCUAUUGUACAUCUAUAUCCUGAACAAGCAGGUGAUAUCGCUUAUCAAUGCAAACUGCUGUGGAUUAAUUUCACCCCUGAUAAAUAUCCACUGUAUAUUUUGGAGCAAAAGGUGCAUUUCAGUUUGCUCCUGGCACAAAGGUUGAACUGUGAAAAGUGAUGGGAGAUACUUACUCUCCUGGUUUAUGGGUUCAAGCUCAAAUGAAGAAGUGAGCAAAGUGAUUGCAGAUUUUAUGAAUAACUGUGCACAACUGUCUAUUCCAAACAGCUUGGAAUAGCAGGGCUUUUAACAGCAAUGCAAAGGCUAAAUUGCAUAGCUCAUGGCUCACAUGCAAGCUAUGGUAAAUAGAGCUCAGAAGAAUUCAUGAGCCCCAAGGUUCAAAAACUGAAGGUAUAUAUGUUCUGUCACUUUCUAACUUUCUAAGACCCAAUGAGGUUUUCAUUUGGGGUCGAGGUUUUCUGUUUAUUUUCUCAGAUACAUGGAGUCCAUGGAAGAUGAUUAAGAGCAUCUGAUGGCAAGAAAAUCUGCCCGGAAGAAGGACAGAAGGCAGAGGUGUCUGGCACAGGACACCAGAAAAGCAGCACAUGGACUGUAAAGACUGCCCUAUAGGCAGGUUUAACACACUAUCCACACACACAUGUAAUUGUAUGCGAAACAAUUUGACUACAGAAGAGUAUCAUUGAGUCACUAACAGAUAUUCUGUUCUAGGAAUAUAUGGGUAUUUGGUAAAAGAUCUAACUAUUACAUGCCUGAAAAUUUUGAAUGGUACUGGUACAAUGUGUAACUUGAAAUCAUAUUAUUGGAAUUGUUCCAUGUUAGCCAAAUUUGAUCAAAUAUCGAAAGGGUAUAAUUGGGAAUAUUAUGACAGUAUAAGGAAUGCUGUCCACUUGCAGCACAAAAGGGUAUUGCUAUCCAAAAUGUAAUGAUGAUUAUGAUCUUAAAGGGUACAUUAUAUUUGCAAACAACAUGUUUUUAUUAGAAUCAGACUUAUCUAGAAGUCAAUUUUGUUAAGCUGUGACUGUUCCACUUUCAAUAGGAAAGAGGUGGAUAUGGUAUCACUAAUCAUCUAUCUUUUCUACACCCCAGAAAGGAAUAUAAGUUAAAGCUUUGUAACAAUCAAUAUUGAAUGUAAUGAUAAAGAUCACAUUGUGUGAGAUACCUGAAGUGGGUUAAAAAUCAUCAAGAUAUUAAGACUGUGAGGGACCCAAAGGGAUGAUAAUGUUGGGUCGAGGUCUUAUUUGUAUGUUCACAGAUAAUGAAAACAUCUGGUCUCCCACGUCAUGCUUCAUGCCAGCUGAUACAGACCAGGAAGACAAGCAGACGGAAGGUGAUGGCAUCAGCUAUCUACAUGCCAGCCACAAUCCAGGCACGCUGGAGGGACACUUCUUUGGUGACUAAUAUCACUCCAGAACAAUGACAUUACACUAUUAGAGACAUUUGCUAUUAGGCCACUGACGGACACUUGUCAUGCUGCAUUUGAGAUGGGGUACCCAGAGCAACAUCAAGUAUGCUAACUCAGAAGGACUAAAUCACACUUGUGUCUGUACAAGACACCAGAUACAUCCCACAUUCCAAAGACUUUGCGAUGGGAUUGAGAUGAAAUAGCUACAAAUUGUCUAGCUACUAAUGUAUACCUUGUAUUUUGUAUAUGAUACUGUCAAAAGAAAUGUAUAUUGUAUGCAUUGUAAAUCCACCACUUGUAUUGUAAGAAAUGCUGUUAUCAACAAGGGUAUAGACCUUGGUAGGACUCUCCAAAGAGUAGGAGAUAGAAAACUCUCAUCCAUAGGAUAGAUCUGAUACCUCUGACAUCAAAAAUGAGGUGCUAAGCAGAAAAUGAUGCACAGACAGGUUUAAUGGACAGAUGACACUGAUGUUACUCUCAAGAAAGAAUGAGAGAUCAGGAAAAAGACGUUAGGAAAUCUUUAAUUAGGAACUUGAGUUAUUGUAAGAGAUCAUUGACAUCCAGGCAAAGAUUAUGUUCCUGACAUUACAUUAAGGGCUGACUACCAUAGCAGUAGUUGAGUGUUAAUACCAUUGUUAACCAUUACUCCUGAUACCCUGUCUUUGUGGGUAAUAUCUUAAUAGGAAAAAUGUCUUGCUCUCCUCCAACAGUCCCAGAAUUCAGACGGCCGCUGGAUUCGGGAUCUAUUGGCUUCCCUUUCAUAUACUGGAAGACGUUCUGGUAUAUGGAAGUAAGACCUCAUGAAAAACUGAGGGCUCUAGGUUUGACAAUUUCUGUGGACGCGCAGUCAUUGUCUCUCCUAGGUGGAAAAAAUUAUUAUUGCUCAAAAACAUGGAGCAAGGGCAAAGUAUAAUCUAAGUUUUACUGUUUUGGAGUAUGGAUUAAAAACAUGACACAAUAGGCACAGAUAAGCUUGUAGAAAAAGCACAUUGAAUAUUAUACACUGAUAACUUGGAAUGAAAAAGCUAUGUCAAAUGCUGUAGGUACAAGAAACUGUAGAAAUUGUUUCUACAUGGGAAACAACUUAAGCUUCUAUUUACCCAAACAUUGGUUUGGUGGAAUGAAUUUUGCAAAUAUUGGUAAUGGUAUAGGCUUGGUUAUCAUAUUGAUGGGUUUAUUUAUACAAGCAGAGAUUUAAAAUAAGGAAGACAUUAGGACUAUGCAGUCAGAACUUGAAAUAUUACUUCAUUAUCACCAUCAUGGUUAUUUAAGUUACAAUUGAGAAUGUAAAAUGGAUGGGAAUAUUGGUAUUUGUUAAAAAUUGCACUGUGAUUGAUGUAUUGAUGUUUUUGCACAGCCUGUAAUGGUGCAAAAUUAUGUUCAUAUACAAGGCGAAUUUUGAUCUAUUUAGAUCAGGAAUUAGAAAUCAUUGGGAAUGUAAGUUCUGAUAUUUCACAUUGGCUCAGUUUCAAAGAUACCACAUAGACUGUGAGCCAAGAGCCAAGAGAAUCUUGUAUUAGUUUUGGGAUCAGGUUCCCAGGAUCAAUUUUCUGAGAUCAUUUGACAUGUGAUAACAUGAUCCUCCAGAAAUGUUUAGAGAGGAUGUUUUUCUUUGAAGGGAUCUCUCCCAACGCACAAACAAAAAGAAAAGGGAGAGGAAUCUUAUAGAGAUCAGUAUUUAUAUUUUUAGAGGACACUUUUUAAAGUCACUCUUGAUUGAUCAACCUUGAUUUUUUUCUUUUACACUAGUAAGGCCAGAACUUUGAGUACAAAGAAAGUACUGUUAAUGCUCUGAUCCAGAAUUAUGAAGGUGCAAAGAUUUCUAGAAUUACAGUCACCUAACAGUCGGUGAACAUGAGAACAUGACAGCAAUUGUUAAUUUUCAGAUGACCAUACUGGAGAGUGAUGUCUGAUUGCAUGUAAGGGGAAUCAUAAUGAAUCUUUCAUUAUGGACCAGACAGCCUCAGCCACGGUUACAUUUUCCAUGUGAAAUGGAUGUUUGAGGUUGGGAAAUGCAGAGACAUGGCGUACUGACACCCUCAGUCGCUGGAUGUCCUGGCAUCGAGCUACCAACCAGUCUCUUAAUGUGGCAGGCAUCUGGCAGUGAGCACAGAAAGAUCCCCAAGAUGCAGUAUCAGGAAGGACUUAUCCUUCAUCUCCAGGGAUAGUAUUUUGCUAACUGUUGAAAAGGCUGACAACUUCUGAUAGUCCAGACUGUGAAUGGUGGCAUGUUUGGUUAUUGCACCUGUCAUGUGAACCAUAGAAUUCUACCUCAUUAGACCAGGAUCAGUAGCGUGGAAAUUAUUUUCUUAACAUUUUUAUAUCUACUAAGACUGUUGCAUUGAUCUUGAAAUGCAGACAGGCAGAUAGAAAGAUCAGUUUGGGAAUUUUUAAGAUUGAUCACUGAAUCAGUUUAUGCUGAUGUUCAUUCUUGAUUGGGAUAUCUAAGUUAUACAAUCAGGAUAGGUUUUUCAUCUCUGUAUCAGAAUAUGAUUAUGCACCAGAGUGUUUGUAUUUGUUAAUGCUGUAAUGUUGCUACAUUUUGAUAUUACACUAUUCAUUUGUGUGUAAAACAAAAAGGGGGAGAUGUAGCAGCCCAGGGGCAAGGGGAACAGUCAGUCUUGGGCAUGCUCAGUAGUGCUCAUGGCUGGGAAGGCCCCUGACCCUUGACCCCAGCUUCUCCCAGGUUAGGCGGGAAAACAGGUUUCUUUGUUCUCCCCUGGUCAAGAGAAACCACACCUAUGCCUUGUCAUUGACCAAUGAGGGUCAUCCCUAUGUACUGUGUAUAUUUGCAUAUCAAAAACUAUAUCUAGCCCAGCAGGCUCCGCCUUCACUCUCUCUCUGCUCUCCCCCCCUCUCUCCUCUUUCAGGCUAGGCGAUGGCUGUCCUUGCAGGAGCUUGGCCUCUGGCCAAGCUCCAUCUUUAAUCUUUCUCCUCAAUAAACGACUCCUCUUUGCAUACCAUGUGAGAGCUGUCGGUACCUUCUUUGUCGCUUCCCCUUUCCUUCUCUCUCUCCCCCUCCCCUCUCAGGGGUCGUAAGGGGCUGGUCCCCGACAAUUUUCUGUCCUGAAUUUCGCUGAAGAUAUUAAUUAUUCCAACUGUUUUAGUUGAUUCUCUAAAUAUGACAUCUUAAGGAAUGAUGUUUGUUUCCUCAUUGCCUAUUUUAAUUCCUUCAUGUCCUUUUUCUUUUCUUUUUGCUAUUGCUAGCAUUUCUAGUACAAUAUUGAAUAAUAAGUGACACUGGGCAUCUUUGUUUUGAUACUGAUGUUAUUGGGAAAGCUUCUUGAUUAUCCCCAUUGCAAAUAAUAUCUAUUGGUGGUUUUAGAUAAGCACUAUUUAUCAUUUUAAGGGGAGUUCCAUUUAUUCAUGUACUUUCUGAUGUGUUUAAUGAGAACAAAUAUUGUGUCUUGUCAAAAGCUUUGCUUCUUUAUCUGUAGAGAUAACCAUAUGAUUUUGUUGUGUUUUGUUAUAGCUAUGGUCAGUUUUGCUGAUAGUUUUCCUAAUAUUGAACCCGUUCUGCAUUCCUGGUAUAAAUCUCAAGUGGUCACAGUGUAAGAGCUUUAAGUACAGCUAUAUUGCUGUAAUCUUCUUCAUAGUGUUUUAUUUAAAUUUUUGCAUAAAUAUUCAUUUGGGAAAUUGGUCUAUAGUUUACUUUUUAUUGUUUCUCUUCAUGGCUUAGAUAUCAAUAUUUGUGUCAUAAAAGGAAAUUUGGUAGAACUCCUUCUUUGUCUGUUUUUCCAAGUAGCUUAUUUAGUAUUGGAAUUGAUUGUUCUUUAAAUGUUUGGUAUGAUUCAAUUGCGAAGCCACUAAGGGCUGGGGAUUUUUUCUUAGGGAGCUCAUUGAUGUCUUAUUUAAUUUCUAUUUCUAAAGUAGGAUUAUUUUAGUAUUCUAUUUCUUCUAUUAAUUUGGGAAAUAUAUAUUUUAAAAUAUAUUCAUCCAUUUCACUAAGAUUGUUUGAUUUAUUGAUAUAUUUUUAUUGACAUAUAUUUGGGCAAAAUAGGUCAUAAUAAUUACUUCAGUUUUCUCUUGGUUUGUUGAUUUCUUGGUACUGUAUUUUUCCGGAGAUUGGAUUUUAUUUUAACAGAACCGACUCAUAAUUUGUUUAUGCACUUCUGAAUCUCUUGAUUUUCAGGAUUUCCAAUUUGGUGUUUAUUUGGAAAUGUUUAUUUUGUUCUUUUUUUCAGUUUUUUUAGUCAUAUGGUCAAUUCAUUUAUCUUCUCCUUUUCUAUUUUACUGAUGUAAUAAUUUAGAGAUAUCAAAUUUCCCUUAAGUAUUGCUUUGGCUGAAUCUCAUAAAUUGUGUUGUAUUUUUUUUAUUGUCAUCACUCUCUCUAAUGGCUUUGUUGAUUGUUUAUAUGACUUAUUCUUUGACAACUCAUUCAUUAGGAUAAUAUAUUUUUCCAACUAAUUUUUUAAUUUAUGUGUUGAUAUUCUCUUAUUAAAUGUAAUUUUUGUGCAAAAAGAUCUGAAAAGGAUAUAUCUAAUGUUUCUGCUUUUCUUCAUUUGAUUGUAAAGUUUUAAUGCCUUAAUAUAGAGUCAAUUUGUGUAUAGGUGGCAUGUACUACUGAGGAAAAAAGUAUAUUUCUUUCUAUUCUCAUUAAUUUUUCUCCAGAGGUCUAUCAUAUCUAACUUUACCAAAAUCCUAUUCAUCUCCUUAACUUUUUUCUUGAUUAUUUUUAGUUAUAUUGUCUGCUUUGUAAUAGAUGAUAUUUUUAGGGUAUAUUUGAUGGUAUGCUAGAUAACUAAUGGAUCAGGUAGUUAUCUUCUUUUUGCCUAGCCUCCUCCCUUUUGUACCUCCCUCUUCAGAAGCCUUUCAGUCUCCCCUCCCCUAUUCUUCAGUCUCCUUCAAGUCACUCAGUGUGAGCUGUGAGGUUUCGAUGAAAUGGUUCUUAAUCUUCUUUGUCAAACAAGGGGUUUAUUUGGGGAAGACAGGACAAGGGUGGAGGAUGGAGGUAAGAGGGAUAGGGUUUUCCCUAUUAUCUACAAUGAGUGUUAAGUUGGAGGAUAUUGAGAGAAAUGGCAAUUCAUUCACUAUUACUCACUAUUACCAUAACUCAUUUAACUUUUCUUUUAAGAAUUUGGAUGCUAUGACAUUUUGGUACAUAUAUAAUUAAUAUUGAUAUUGUUAUUUGCCUGUGGUACCUGUUAGCAAAAUGUCUUUCCCCUGCUUAUCUCUUUUAAUUGGAUGUAUUUUUCUUUUGUUUUUGCUUUGUGUAAGAAUAUGAUUGCUAUGCUAAUUUUUUCUACUUUAGCUAAAGCAUAAUAAACUCUGCCCAAGGUCUUUUUCCUUUUCCUCUGUUUGGUUUCUCUGCUUCAAGUGUGUUUCUUGUAAACAAUAUCAUGAUUACCAAGUAUGUAUUUCCCUCCAUGCUAUUUUUCCCGUUUGUCUUUCUCUCUCUCUUUCUUCUUUUACCCUGUCCAUCCUCAAAGUGUCUUGCUUCUUCUGUUCAUUGCUUUAGCAGUCCACACCUAGCUAUGGACAAGGGAGACAGUUAGAAUGUACAGAGUGGCUUAGAAGAGAGCAUGCUCAGUCUUGCGCAUGGCUAGGAAAGCCUCUGACCCUUGAUCCCAGCUUCCCCCAGGUUAGGCGUGACAUCAGGUUUCUUUGUGUUCACCUGGCUAAGAUAAACCACACCUAUACCUUGUUGUAAUUUACAAUUACCCAAAGGCAAUACACUAUGUAAUUCAUCAAUAUGUAUUGGGUACAUUUGCAUGUCGAAGACAUUAAAAGCAGCCACAGCAGUCACCUCCCUCUCUUGGACCUCACCUCUUACCUAUGUCUGUCUUUGCUGGAGUUUGGCCUCUGGCCAAGCUCCAUCUUUAAUUUCUUCCCUUCUCUAUCUCUCUCACCUGGGACCUGGCCUUGGGCCAGGCACUUACCUAACUCUUUCUAAUUCAUCCUAUUACCUGCACCUUAUUCUCUCAGCUGUAAGGUUCGGGCUUGGCAAAUAGUCUGAGGGACCUAGGCUGAUCUCUCAGCUAGCUAUAUCAUUUCUCAUGACCUGUGUGGUAUUAAUUUUGGAUCACUGGAUGGAUUAUGCCUUUGUGUGGUCCAGAGUUCGGAGUUUUUCUGUGGCUCCAUUGUAAUCAAUACAGCCUGGUUUCUGACUCAUUUCUGCCAUCUCAUACCUGGCUCUGUCAUGCCCCCCACGGAAUCCAAUCUACUAUCCUUUCUUUCUCUCUCUCUCUCCUUGAGGCAUUCACAGAGACUGCCCCAAUUGCCUCCCUUAAUCUGUUCUCAUUUCUAUCACAUCUUUCUCCACUUAUGCUAUUCCUCUCUCCUCCUACUUCCCUAAUAUAGCAAGAUAGAUUUUUUAAUACUGAGUCAAAUGUGUGUUUUAUUCCCUCUUUGUGCCAUUUCUUUUUUUUUCCCUAAAUAAACACUUACCUUCUGUCUUGGAAUUAAUCCUGUGUAUUGGUUCCAAGGCAGAAGAGUGGUAUGGGCUAGGCAAUGGGGGUUAAGGGACUUUCCCAGGGUCACACAGCUGGGAAGUGUCUGAAGCCAGAUUGUUCCCAUCUUUAGGCCUGGCUCUCAAUCCACUGAGUACCCAGCUGCCCCCUUCUUUGUGCCAUUUCUGAUGAGAAUAGGGUUUAAAUACUAUUCUCCCCACCUUCUCUCCACUAUAAAAGUUUUGAGUGAGAUAUUUCCCCCUCCUCCCAGCACAUGUCUCUUUCUUACCCCUCAAUUUUAUUUUUUAAAACUCAUCCCAUCAUAGUCAAUUCACAUCCAUGCCCUCAGCUAUGUAGAUAUGCCUUCUAACUGCCUUACUAAUGAUAAAGAUCUUAGGAGUUCCAAGUAUCAUCUUCCUUUGUGGCACUAUAUAGUUUAAUCUAAUUAAAUCUCCUAUGAUUUCUUUCAUGUUUACCUUUUUGUACUUCUCUUGAGUUUUAUAUUUGAAAGUCAAAUUUUUGUUAAUCUCUGAGCUUUUCUUCAAGAAUUCUAGAAAGUCUACCAUCCCAUUAAAUAUCUAUUUCCCCCCCACAAAGGAUUAUCAUUUUAAGCUCUCCAGUCCUUUAAUCUAGAAGCUGCUAAAUCUCUUGUUAGACUGACUGUGACUUCAUGAUAUAGGAAUUGUUUCUUUCUGGUUGCUUGCAAUAUUUUCUCUUUAACCUGGUAGCUCUGGAAUUUGCCUAUAAUAUUCCUAGAAGUUUUCAUUUUGGGAUCUCUCUUAAGAAGUUAUUGGUGGAUUCUUUUGAUUUCUAUUUUAUCCUUUAGUUCCAGGAUAUUAGUGCAUCUUUCCUUGAUAAUUUUUAAAAUAUGAUGUUGAACCUUUUAAUUUUUUUAUCCCGACUUUUAGGUAAUCCAAUAAUUUAAAAUUAUCUCUCUGGAUCUUUUUUUUAUUGAGAUUUUUUUAUUUUUAUAUUUUAAUUAUUUUGAUUUUGAUUUAUUAUUUCUUGGUGUCUCAUGGAGUCAUUAGCUUCCACUUGCUUAAUCCUAAUUUUGAAGGAAUCAUUUUUUUCAGUGAAUUUUUGUUCCUUUUUUACCCAUUUGGCCAAUUCUGCUUUUUAAGGAGUUCUUUUCAAUGUUUUUUUGUGCCUUUUACUAAACUAUUGACUUUUUUUCAUUACUUUCUUACAUCACUCUCAUUUUCCCCCCAUUUUAACCCUUUACCUCUCAUAAAAUUCUUUUUGCAAUCUUCUAAGAAUUCCUUAUGGUCCUAUGACCAAUUCACAUAUUUUUGGGAAGCUUUGCAGAUUGUCUGUUUUGAGUUCAUUGUCUUCUUCUGUGUUGGUUUUCUGAUCUCUGUCACCAUAGUAACUUUUGUGGUCAGGUUCUUUUAUUGUCAUUUACUCAUUUUCUCAGUCUAUUUCUUGACCUUUAAUUUUAUGCUAACAUUGGACUUUGCUCCCAGGGUGGAGGAGGCACUGUCCCAACCUUCAUAUUUUUCAUGCAGCUAUUUUCAGAACUAAUUCUGGGGUUCUAUACAUUUUCAGUUCUUCCAAGGUGGUAUCACCUAAGGAGAGCUGUAGUCACUGCUUUACUGGCCUGUGCUCAGGUCUGUGAACAACCACAAAAACUCUUUCUGCCCUGAAACUGUGACCAGAGUCUACACUCCCUUGGGACCACAUGUGCUAGUAAGCUAGUGCUUCUCCUUGCUCCAGGACUGUAACCUAAAAAAACAUAUGGGCAUACAACAGAGUCUUAUACCCAGUGCCAGCAUAGGGAUCCUGUAAUCUCUUUCUGACCAAUUGUCCAAAUCCUUUAUCAUAUGUGGGAUGAGAUCUCUGGAAGCCUCCUCUAUUGCUGUAUAGACCCCCAGGGCUUGUUAUUGCCUUGAUGGGUCAUGACCUGGCCUACAUUGUUCUCUAUUCUCACCCAGUGAAACAUACCUCUCCUCUUGACUUUCUAAGUUAGAUUUGGAUUUAAAAUUGUUUCUCCCUGUCCAUUUGUUGAUUCUGAAGCUUUAGAAUUCAUUUUGAAGCAUUAUCUUAAAAUUAUUUGGCAGGACAUUUGGACAAUCUUGGGCAAGUCUCUGCCUUCACCUUAUCAUCUUGAUCUGUUUCCCCAAAAUAUAUAUUGACAUCAUUCUCAGAUUCCUGAUCUCAGAAAUGUCUUUGUUGAAACCAACAAAAGCAAAGGAUUAGGGAAGAAUAUGCCACCUUCUCCUAAAUCCUGAGUCUCUUGGCUUAGGAUAUUCCUGUUUUUGUAAAUCAGUAUCUUGUAGUGACUUACCCAACUUUUAACCAGGAAGUACAUAGCUAGUAAUCUGUAUUUCUUAUCUGAUAAUAUUUAUAUUUUCAUCAAGUCCUACCUUAAGCUAUAUUUAGAGUUAUGAAAGAUUUCUGAGUAAUAUCUUGACUGGCUUACCACCUUGGCCACUGUUGAAUGAAGAAAGUGGGGAGGAAGAGAAAGAUAUGAUGCAAUUUUGGAAGGGAAUGUUUUGGGAAGGGGUGGGUGGAAUUACGAAUAGAUGACAGAAAUAGAUAAAGCCAAUAAAACAAUAUAUAGUACCUAAUAACUACAUUAAUAUAAAAGCAAAGAACAACCAUGCACAUACAAACCCCAAAUUAAAUAUUACAAAAUUAUAAAUGAAGAAUAUGAUUCAAAAGAUGAGAUAUGCAAAUACUCCUCCCCACCUCUUCUUGCAAGUGGAAAAUCCACAAAUAUUGCACUUUUAAUAGAUAUUCAGAUCUCUUCCAGGUAUGGAUUAAUUGUGUUAAUUUUUUCCUCCUUUUUCUUUUGUCUUUAAACAAUAUUAUUUGUUAUGAGGAUAAUUCUGGGAAAGGCAAAUGCAUGGAUUAUGAGGAAAAUUAUUGUGAUGUAAAGAAAACAACCUUAUUUUUAAAAGUAUUACCAAAAAUAAGUAGAGCAGUAUACCUACCUCAUAGUAGUUAAAAUGGAUGAUUUUGAUUAUAUAAAAAUUAAAAUAGUUUGUACAAACAAAACCAAUGAAACAAAAUGAGAGAAAAUCAGGAAAUUGGAGAGAAAACCUAAAGCAAGUUUCUUUGAUGAAAGCUUCAUUUCUCACAUAGUUAAAGAACUUAACCAGAUUCAUGUAAAUAGGAGACAUUCUCCAAUUGAUAAAAACUAGAGAAUAUAAAAGAUGGUUUUCAGAAGAAAAAACAAAACUACCAAAAUGUGUAUGGGCAAAUACUCUAAAUCACUAUUUGACCUAAUAUUUAUCAGAUUGGUUAAUAUGACAGAAAAGGAAAAUGAUAAAUGCUGAAAGGGAUGUGGAAAAACAUCUUCUAGAGAAUAUACUAUUGAAAAGUGAAAGAGACUUUAGAAGCUCUUGCAUAUUGUCUUGUAUUUGAUGGAGUUCUAAACUAAUAUAGCUUUUUUUCUGGAGAACAAUUUAGAACUGUGCCCAAAGAGUUAUAAAACUAUAAAUACCAGUAAUACUUCUCAGUUUGUCUUUGAAAGAGUUAUCUUUGUGGUGCAUUUUAGCAUGAAUUCAAUGCAAAUAUUUUAAUAAGGUAAAAGGGCAGAAGCAACUAAAUGAUUUAUACAAUAUUAAAAAGGAGUUUUGGAAGACUUACCCCUUUCCUACCUGAUGACAGUACAUACAUAUACAAUAGCUAUACAUGCCAACAUUUUAAGAAAACCUCACUUAUAUUAUCCUUAACAUAUAAGAAUAGUUCAGCAGACAUCUUUUUCAUUCAUUUCUGCUUUUUAAAAGGAAACCAUCAUAAUAAAAAGGAACAUGGUAUCAUGUUUUUGCAUUUUUAAUUAAUAUUAGAUUUACUCUUUGAAGCCAACAUCUGUCAAACAUAUCUUGUUUGGGCAGCAAUAUAGCCUAGGAAUCAAUUCAUUUUGACAAGCACUUAUUUACUUACUAUUUUCUGGUCUCUAUGUUAGGAUAUAUAUAUAUAUAUAUAUAUAUAUAUAUAUAUAUACAUAUAUAUAUAUAUAUAUAUAAUAUGUAAAAUUAAGUCGCUAUUAACCGCAAGGAGUUUAUACUCUACUAGUGGGCGGAAGAUACAAUAUACACACAGAAAAGGAUCCAAGAGCUACUAACGUCCCAACCACUUUUCAAUCGAUCAACCCAUGAUCGUAUGCUAAACUAAUCUGGAAGAUGGAGAGAAUACUAGAGAGAUAUCAAGAUUUUUUUAAUAUCUAAAAUAUAUAGCCAAGUUGCUGCUGACAUGUAUGCAUAAUAAAAGUAAGGAACAGUGAGGACCAAAAAAAGUGGAGAAUAAUGUCCUGUUCUCUUUAGCUUACCUUGAGUUCUAACUCAAAUUCAUUUUCAUGCUCAAGUCUAAGGAUUUUAGGAAUGUCUAAACCUAUAUGAGGUAGCUCCCUGGAACAAAGUGCUAUUACCUUUGUCCAUUGUCAUUUUCCCUUCUUUUCAAAUGACCAAUGACAUUGUGGGAUGAAGUCUUGAGUUGUGCAUGAAUUGGAUUUGUGAGACAGAGUUCCUCAAAGUCAUCAGCCUCACUCUCUCUUCCAGAGUCAUUUGAGUCCAGUGGCAGGACAAAAAGUCAGGAUGAUUGGUCAUGGCUUGGGGUGCAAUGGAUUACUUUGGUGUCUAUUAUGUCUGACCAAGCACUCUGCUAUACCUGCUUCAGCUGUUUUCAUGGCAAUUGUAAUAAACAGUUCUCAUCUGCUCAUUCCACUGGAGGAAGUGUUCAUAUGCUCAUUAAAUGCCUUUGAGUCUAACAAAUUCUGCCCUCUUUCUAAUGAAAGAAAAAAAUGGGGAAUCAUGAACUACUAUUUUGAAUGGAUGCAAACCCAGAGAAUACCUUGAAUCUGGUGUAGCUAUUCUAGAAGCCCCAUACGUGAGAGGAUUGUAUUUCAGGUGCUACAGGAACAACUGAGGAAGACCAGAUAAGUCUUUUCAUAGGAGAUGGUACCUCUCAGUUAAAUUAUAAAAGAGGCUAAGAUUUCUAAGAGGUAAAAGCAAAGCAGAAGAAUAUUCUGAUAUGUGGUCCAACCUCUGUAAAGUCAAGCAGAAAGGAGAUAGAAUGGUGAAUUUCAAGAAAAUAAGUAGCUCAGUUUGACCAGAAUAUAAUGGAAAUGAUAGGGAGUGGUGUGAAGUAAGAAUGGAAAAGAAGGCUCAAGGUGGACUGGGAAGGGCUUUAAAUGCCAAGUGGAUAUAUUUGUCAGUGAUGACAGUGAUUCUUGGAUGAGUUGGACUCUAACAAAAGCGAUUUGACAAGCUACACAGUGUCUUAGCAUAUCUUUGCUAUUUCUCUUGUAAUCGUGAUGAUUCAGUCUGAUUUCCAAAAUUACUUGUAAAAGUAAAAUUGCUCCCUAAGUUUUAACUCUGAUAGCAUAGAAUCAGUUACGAAGCUAUGAAUUCUACUGCCUGCUUCUGUAAAUAAUAAGCGUAGGGAUUGACAUUCCAACAACUAUAAUGGUCAGUGUGAUGACAAAAAGAUGUGGUCAUACUCACCCAACAAGGACCCCUUUGAAUCCAGGAAGUAUUUGAGCACAUGGUAAGAAGUACCCUGAACCUCAGUCUAUAUGUAUAUUCUCUUUGUGACAACUAUACAGAAUGUAUCAAGUCAAUUCACAUAAUCUGAAGUUCUCUAUGAGUUUGCCAGAAGUCCCAGAUCCCUAACUUUUCAUCAGUCACUAAUAGUGAUGGUAUAGAGCAGAGGUGUCAAAUAUGUGGCCCAUAAACACUCUGGGGUGCCACCUGAACCAGAUUAAAAUGUGAUUGGGAAAUGUUUAAUAAAAUAAAUAAAAAUAUAAUACCAUACAAUGUUAAUUUUGGGGUUUCUAAACCUAACUGUAUGACCCUGGGCAAGUCACCAAACUCUGUUUGCCUCAGGUUCCUCAUCUGUAAAAUGAACUGGAAAAGGAAAUGGCAAGCCACUCCAGUAUCUUUGUCAAGAAAACCCCAAAUGGGAUCAUGAAGAGAACAAAGAGCAUCUAUGCCCAAAGGCUAUGAAAUAAGGAAUAAAGGAGCUUAGGAUCAUAGCCUUAUAACCAGAAGGGACUCGUCCAAAGUCACCCACAUGAUGGUGGAGUAAUCCAGAGCAGCUCUGCAUCACCACGAGAAUCCUCUCCAACUAAGAUUGAAAUAUUACCACAAAACAAAUAUACAAGUGAAAGAAGCAACAAGGAUACUGAAUGAAACAACCUUUAAGAAAAGAAAAACCCCAAAGUUCAGGGUGGAUCUCCAAGACAGGACAAUCAAGGGUGUGCCUGAUUGGAUCAAGUAUACAGUGAGACCAAAAACUUGAACCUAAGCCUGAGGCUAUAAUUUGAUCAGCCCCUGAUCAGAUCAAUAUCAAACUGAG